GGUGGACUUUUCCUUCGCGCUGUGCGCUCAGAUAUUCUUUCGGCUUCGAUCUGUACAGUUGACAGUCCAAGGAAUAUAGAGCCAGCACUGGCACUCCUUAACCCAUUCACCGUUCCAAACAUACGACAUCGUGUGGUGUUGUUUUUGUCGCACAGAAACGCACCAUCCACUAGAGAGUUGUAUUUUUUUUUACUUAACAUUCCUGGAAUGUUAAUAGCUGUGCGGUAGAAACACCAAGAAGAGCAAACCUUGCUUUAUUAGUGCAACACUUUACGGCACUUACUUGUUUACGUGAGCAAUAGAACUAGUGCGUGCAAUCAUCGGUAGAUCCUGCCUGACGUGUGGAGUGAAAAGACGGUAUUUUUGAAACAGAGUGUACUGAGCGUUGCCAUGGGAACCAACCCCAAUGGACGUGACAACUGAGCUAGCUGGCUAGUGUGUGCAUUCAUGUUGUGUGACUGUUUUUUUCGAGCUCCCGUGAUAGGCAAGGGACACCUAUUCGUGAUAAGGAACAUUGGUUGUUACGUUUAUUUUCGUUAAUUUACAAACGCUAAGAAACAACAAGCCGCGUAAAAGUGAUACACGAGCAUACAAAAAUACGAUAAAUACAAUAUUACUUUAGUAGGAUGAUAGGAAAGUUAGAGUAGCAUAAAUACGGAUCCGUGUACUUUCGUGUAUUUGCGUGGGAUAGUUUUAGUUAGCUUUAUGUAGGUUAGUGGCUUAACAGGGCGUUGAUCGGUAGGCAAAAUUUGCUAGUACUGCAACCCGUACGAUAGCUCCUUUUGGCUUCCAAGCUUUUCGCGGUGUACGGCCAGUGCACGUAGUAGCUUUGCGUAGGGCUGUCCGUCGCUCAGCCUGCUUAGAUCGGAGAUACGGCGUCGCGCUAGGCAAUGCUUUGAAUGUGUGCUUCAACGUACCGCCCCACACCAUCCGCUUCCGUGGCCGCCCGUGCACGUUUGGGCGAUUGAUCGCAUCCGGUAAUGGAACUCAAGCCCCGCUCCGCCUCACCAACGACCGUGCCCAGUGGUGUGAUAGUGCAGAGUGCGCUAGCAGCCGGCUCGCUACCGGAGCAGAUCGGCACAGAGAGUGCGGCCAGCAGUAGUUUGCUAGCCGGCAGUAGUAGUUGUACCUCGCCCUUAGCUAGUACCGUAGGUCAGGUGGGACAUCUUUCAGACCGUGCGUCCGAACCGUUCGGAUCGGCCGGUGGUACGGCAACGACGACGUCCACUGGUUCGUCCACCGUUGCGCCUGCGAAGGUAGCCCCCUCGGCACUGUCCUCCUCGUGCUCGGCCCCGAUCGCCGUGCACGGUAAACGAUCGCCGUCCAUCGCGACGCCGGUGAAAAGCUCGAACGUAUCCGGCGGUAGCAGCUCCUGCAUACCGAGCCCCAUCCUAAGCCCGCCGGGAAAAAUCUUCGGACGCAACAACAACGGCAUCAUGGUUGUCACGUCGACCCCCUCGAACGAAGCCGAACUUCAGCUGUACCGGGUGCUGCAGAGAGCAAGCUUGCUCAACUACUAUGACACACUGCUCGAGAUGGGGGGUGAUGACGUCCAGCAGUUGUGUGAUGCGGGCGAGGAAGAGUUCCUGGAGAUCAUGGCACUGGUUGGGAUGGCCUCGAAACCGCUACACGUUCGUCGGCUCCAGAAGGCACUGCACGAGUGGAUGACCAAUCCCUCCGCCUUCCAGAGCCCGCUUACGAACGUGGACAUACCGUCGCGGAUCCCGUACAGUCCCGAGCCGGGUUCGAUAGCGCGCAGCGUUUCGACGGCCAGCACUGGACCGUACGGUGGUCCGUCGACCGUUGCCGGUAGCUUUUCGAACCUGACCGCCAAUGCUGUCGCCAGUACGAACCUUCCGCUCACACCGCCGACACCGAUCCCGUCCGCUCCUGCUUCGUCCUCCUCUUCCUCCUCCUCGGCAGUGGCCGCUGCCGCAGCGGCAGCCGCUUCAGCCGCAUCGUCCACCCUCGGUCAUCUCGGCACGGGUGUCGGUCCUUUGGGCCAUCAUCAUCUGCUGCACCAUCACCAUCAUCAUCAUCCGCUGAGCAGCAGCAAUCUAAGCAGCACGAUCAGCAACCAGAUCGGAUCCACGACCAGUGGUUCGGUGCAGCUUACACCGUCGCUGACGGAGGAUCAGGUGGCAAAGAUAGUACAGGCGGCCGAGCGGCUGUCACGCACCCUGCCCCGGCUCGAACCGCGCCAGCAAAGCAUCAAGAAGCGUUCGGCACGCGACCUGGAGGCGGUUAUCGCGAUGAGCGAAAGCGAUCCGCGGCGGAUGGAUGAGAUACGCAAGUACUCGGCCAUCUACGGCCGGUUUGAUUGCAAGCGCCGUCCGGAGAAGCCGCUCACACUGCACGAGGUGUGUGUGAAUGAGGCGGCCGCCCAGAUCUGCAAGUACAUCCCGGCGCUGCUGACAAGGCGCGACGAGCUGUUCCCACUCGCCCGGCAGGUGGUGCGUGACUGUGGGUUUGGUCAUUCGGCCAGCAUACGAUUGACGGGACUGAGCCAAACGCAACCAAAUCGUGGUGACGAACUGGACACGGUGCAGCAGCUGAAACGAGCCCGCCUCUCAAGCGACACCAGCUCGGACAUGGGCAAGCCAACUCCAACUACGCAAUACACAUGCUUAUGAGCUUACUCGCUGCUUGAUUGUAGUUGAACGGUCAAAGUCUAAAGCUCACGCUGAUCUGGCGGAGUCGCGGAUCAACUGUUCUGCAUCGGCCUGCUGCCUACCGGCUGGGCUGUUCGGCUGUGGGCACCGUGUACCUACCACACGUUUGGCCACGCUUCUGGGCUACGCUUUGCUUACCAAAUUGCUUUCCAAUGCUUCCACACUAUCGCUUAUCGCUUUAUCGUUCUUUUGUUGAGCAUUUAAGUAUCCUUUCAUAUUUACUUAUUUAUUAUUGGUUUAAGUUUAUGUUUUAAGGUUUAAUUUUGUUUUACUUUCGUUUCGUUGAUCUGUAAGUGCUUGAUUAUAAUAUAUUGAGAUGUCAAUGGAAAGUAGAAAACUUAUCUUUAGCAUGGAGUUAAACUCACUCGAAGAUACUUUUAGCCUUUCUAUUGGCACUGGUGCUCGCAUGAAUAAGGCUGAUAUUUUUGCUUCUCAUUUUCUACAUCAAAGAUGUUGAAGCAGAAUUUUCACCCUAAUUUCAUUGCACUUCCUAUUUUGAAACUAUUAAUAACAGCAGUUUAUCUAUGAAUCUAAGGAUUAGUAAUGAAAAUCCAGUGUGCCUUGUAGCUUUAGUUCUAGUCAGAUGCUUUGACCUUCGUUUAUUUUGCAACUUCCUUUGCCAUAGCGUUUUGUAUGUUUUUAAUAGUAGAGAUAAAAUACUCAUUUUAUUAACGUAGUAAUUAGUUAUAGCAUUUUAUAGUAGACAAAUGUAUCUGCUUCGCCACGCUACGCUUUAAAAAUUGUACGUGCAAAUGAUUGACAAAAAAAUUGGAUUGAAAUUUCCGUUGACGUUGUAGUUUAGUUUAAAUAAAUCCAAAAACUAAUAAUCAAUUCAAAACUCAAACAUUGCGACGAUAUUACAGUUUUCUUUUCAAUUAUAUUUAAUUAAUGUUCGCACAACUUGCUUCCAGUGGCGGAUUUAACGGUGCGCGGACUGAGCGGCCGCGGGGGGCCCCGUCUAUGUAGGGGCCCCGUGUAAGGAAGUCCAGCAUAUAGAACAAUGUGUACAGUAGUCUCAACAAGAGCUUCUGUGGUACUUAGGGGCCCCAUGGAUGAAGGGACUCUUAUACUAUAGGGGCCCAGUACAGGGAUUCUGAGCACCCCCCCAAAACCUAAUGCAACAAUAUGCACCCCCCCCCCCCCCCCCCCCCCCGCUCGACACCAACCGGGGGGCCUCCACUCCUUUUAACGCUUAGGGCCCCCAACACCCUAAAUCCGCCACUGCUUGCUUCAGUCUUUUAUUCUCACUUUCUGUAAUACAACAUGUUUAUUGAGCCUUUCUAAACGGUCUAAAAAGCAUUUUUUUUACUAUAUUUGCACGUAUAAUUCAUCUGCCCUCUGUGCUGAAAUGUACGAUCUUUGCUAACACCAGUGCAUUGCUAUCGGAUCCUGCAGAGGGCUAGAUUCGCUUCACUGCUUCUGCUUCCGCUUUCAUUUGAUUUCUAUAGUUUGUGUGUUGCUUCUAGUAUUCCUGUAGCUAUAUUUAUGUUCCAUGCUUUUAUUAUUAAAUAUGCUGCACUUAACUCAAACCUUCUUUAUUGUAAAUAUCUAUCGCUUGCUUGUAUUGCGCUUAUGCACAUCACACUCUAAUAUUGCGCCUGCACAACCUAAACCAAUAAAGGUACAGUAAAAUGGACGAUACUAAUUCUUAUUUCCCUUUUCCCAGGAAAACUCGGACGACAAUCGCGACAUUUCGAGCGGCUCCAUUUACCAGCAGAUCAGUGACAAACCCUUCGAUUUAACUGAUUCAAAUACACUAGAUCCGAAUUUGAUGACACAGAUUCUCGAUUUAGUUUUAGCAAUUCAAGUUCGUCAC